rnacentral:lncRNA from 1 species
AGGGGUUCACUUCCGAAAAACCACUGAUAACAUAUUUAUUUGGGCACAAGGAUGUCUGGAGGAAGUAAAAAGCACAGAGUACUUAGAGUACUUGUGUCUCCCUUUCCUUUAGAACCCUGUCAAGGGAAGGGGCUGAUUCUUGCCACCUAGCCCCCCAAAAAACAAUACCAGGCCACACUCGAUACAAAGUGCUUGAUUAACUUCGCUGUUACCAGCAACCCCAGAAAACCACUAGUAUCUUAUAAAAUGAUAAGAGCAAAGCUAAGCAGUUAAAAACUCAGGUUGACUAAUAUAUUUUGAAUGUUCAAAUGCAUGCACUCAUAGCCAGCAGCACAAGGUCCCGAGGCCCCUGACACCUGGUGAUGUUAAAUCCCAUCAAGUUGGCAAUUAAGAUAAACCAUUACGAGACUUCAUGAAAUUAAGCCUCUGAGAGACAGGAGAAACAAGUGAAAAGCUCCAGCUCCUGCUCCGGCUCAUUCUUCUCUCUGUCUCCUACUUAUGGUUCCAGAUGGGGCUUCAGCUACUUCUUCAGCAUCAUGCCUGCCUGCCUUCCUGCCAUCGUGUUCCCCACCAUGAUGAAAACAGAUUUGUCUUUGAAACUUGUCCCCAAUUAAAUGCUUUACAAUAU